CUCACAUACUGGUUGCAAAACCUUUUUCUAUUUUUCUUUGGAUAAACACAGACCUACUAUAUCUUAGUUAAGCUAGGUAUCUGCUACUCACAUACUGGUUGGAAAACCUUUUUCUAUUUUUCUUUGGAUAAACAUAGACCUACUAUAUCUUAGUUAAGCUAGGGAAAAUAUACUUGUACUAUUGUGAUAGAUUUUGUAUCUUUUAGAUCCAACUUUCACAAGAAAAUGGGAUAGUUUUAAGAUGUCACAUGAAGUGGGAUAGUUUCAAGAUGUCACAUAUAUGUACUUUAUACACUGGCUAUGUUGCUCACUUCAUCUUGUCUAAAGACAGCUGCUUUUUUGGAAAUGAAUCAAAAUGGGUUUUGUGCAGUUUAUAGUAAAUAGUAAUCAUGAGCUUUAAUAGGUCACAAAGUGAUUUAUUGGUGAGUUGAUUGAGACAAAUGGUGCAGGCUGGAUUUGAAUUCCAGUAAAACUGGUACUUGCUUGGUUCCCUGGUAAUGAUGUUGGUAGAGUAUGAGGAUCGGCUUCUUCAACUUUAACGGUGUCUCUGAGGUGUAUAUAGGUGGGCCUGGAUGGAGAUUCAGUCUUUUUUUUUUUUUCUUCUUCAUCUUCUUCUUCUUCACUUCUGACUUCUUUCUUCUUACGCGAUUGUUCUACUUCCUCCUCUGGCCCUCAAAGAUGAUAUUUUACACAUUGGCCAGUUGGCAAAAGCAAUAGCUACAACCUCUUAACAAUAUCAACUUUGGGAUUCAUUUAUGGGAACGAUGUUCAAAUGAAUACCUAAAGUUCAUUUUCCUUAUCCCCCAAAAAAAAAAAAAGAAUACCUAAAGUUAUUUUGAAUUGUAAUAGAAGUUCAGGAAAUUUUCCAAGGACUCCAGGAUAUUGUUCUGAAGUUUCACUCACAAUCCUGGAGUUUUACUUACAGAAGUUUGAAAUUCAUGAUACAUUCU
rnacentral:lncRNA from 1 species